CGGGCUGUAGCGCAGUCUGGAUAGCGCGCCACCUUGGGGUGGUGGAGGUCGCUGGUUCGAAUCCAGUCAGCCCGA
rnacentral:tRNA from 1 species